UGAGAUCGAAACCAGAAGUCACCUUCGAUUCAGCUGGAUCCACAGCAGGCAGAAGCAGGACUUGUGCUCAAAAAGCAGCUUCCUGUGCAACCUUUUCAGUACCACAAGUACAUCUGUUUACUGGGGAGACAGGGACACACUGGAGAGAGCACAGUGAAGGACAAUGAGGAUGGUUAAAGGACUGGAGUGCUCGUCACACGAGGGGAGGCUGAGAGAGCAGACGGCAUUCAGCCUGAAGACCAAGCUCACAGGGGAAUCGUAUUGCUGUGUAUAAUACUUGACAGGAGGAAAAAGAGAGUCACUCUUCUUACCAAUACCCAGUGAAAGGACACGGGGAACAAACUGAAACAAGAGACAGCUGAUCCUGUGCCAAGGCUAGGACAAAACCGAGAGCUGCUCAAGCCUAUUCCAGUCCAGCUUUCCAACUCUGCCCAAAAACAUAGAUGAAAUUGUCCAGGACAAACUGCUAGGUAAGACUAG